rnacentral:rRNA from 1 species
UACGAAGGGGGCUAGCGUUGCUCGGAAUUACUGGGCGUAAAGCGCACGUAGGCGGCUUCUUAAGUCGGUGGUGAAAUCCUGGAGCUCAACUCCAGAACUGCCUUCGAUACUGGCGACCUAGAGUCCGGAAGAGGUGAGUGGAACUCCUAGUGUAGAGGUGGAAUUCGUAGAUAUUAGGAAGAACACCAGUGGCGAAGGCGGCUCACUGGUCCGGUACUGACGCUGAGGUGCGAAAGCGUGGGGAGCAAACAGG